rnacentral:rRNA from 1 species
UACGUAGGGUGCGAGCGUUAAUCGGAAUUACUGGGCGUAAAGCGUGCGCAGGCGGACUUGUAAGUCAGGGGGUGAAAUCUCACAGCUCAACUGUGAAACUGCCUUUGAUACUGCAAGUCUUGGAUCCAGAAGAGAGUUGUGGAAUUCCGAGUGUAGCAGUGAAAUGUGUAGAUAUUCGGAAGAACACCAGUGGCGAAGGCAGCAACUUGGUCUGGUAUCGACGCUCAGGCACGAAAGCAUGGGGAUCAAACAGA